GAGUUAUUUUCCUAUUAGGUUUAGGAGCAAUACUCCAUAAAUUGUUCAUAUAUCCUAUGUAAUUUCAACUUUUGGAGAUUUAAUCAAUAAAAUUAUGCAGAAUUUCUCCGUCAAUAUUUGUGUAUUGUGUGUGGAGAUAGUAAUAUUUGAGCCUCACACUAUGUCAAGUAGUAUCAGAAUGGGAAAAUUACCCCAAUUGAGAUGGCUUACCUUGAUGGAUGUCGCGAUCGCAGUGAUUUUUGCAACGAUGAUCGGGGAACUGGAGCUUGCAAUGAUGGAAGUGACAUUUGAAGCAACAGAUGGAUCUCAUAUUUGAGCCCAUAGAAAGACGUUUUGAAGAAAUUGCAGAUCUCCUUAGUGCUCUAGGAACUAAUACAAAAAGGAAUCGGUUUGACAAAAGAAGGCCAAGAGAUGGUGCAACCCAUGCUAAUCCUAUUUAUCGACCAAUUCCUAUACAUAGGCAAUAUGUCCAUAAUGAAGAUUCAGAGGAAGAUGACUAUGAGUCAUAUAGGUUCUACAGACAUUCAUAUAAUGAAAGAUAUAGAAGAAGAGGUGCGUAUCAACCAAUUCUUGUGCAACAAGAGUAUGCCUACAAAGAUACGAAGGAGGAGGACUUUGAACCAAUUAGGUUCAAUAGGAAUCAAUGGAAUGGUGGCUACAAGCAAAGAGGCAUACAUGGAAUAAUGAGAAGAGGUUUUCAAACAAAACUAAAAUUGCAUCUGAAAUUAUAGCCGAACGCAAGGACACCCAACCCAAGCAUCUAUUAGAGGAAAGAGAAGCAACUUGAGUUAGAAACUCAACUUAAGGUUAAGGAGACUAAUGUCGAAGAAUAGAAACUAGAAACUUUGAGUGUAUUUCCUUUUGCUAUGAUUAAAGAUGAAGAGCUUGAGGAAUGUG
rnacentral:misc_RNA from 1 species